UGGGGAAUUUUGGACAAUGGGUGAAAGCCUGAUCCAGCAAUGCCGCGUGUGUGAAGAAGGCCUUCGGGUUGUAAAGCACUUUUGUCCGGAAAGAAAUGGCUCUGGUUAAUACCUGGGGUCGAUGACGGUACCGGAAGGAUAAGGACCGGCUAACUACGUG
rnacentral:rRNA from 1 species